rnacentral:sRNA from 1 species
GUAAAAGUCGUAACAAGGUUUCCGUAGGUGAACCUGCGGAAGGAUCAUUACCGAGUGAGGGCCCUCUGGGUCCAACCUCCCACCCGUGUUUAUCGUACCUUGUUGCUUCGGCGGGCCCGCCUCACGGCCGCCGGGGGGCAUCCGCCCCCGGGCCCGCGCCCGCCGAAGACACACAAACGAACUCUUGUCUGAAGAUUGCAGUCUGAGUACUUGACUAAAUCAGUUAAAACUUUCAACAACGGAUCUCUUGGUUCCGGCAUCGAUGAAGAACGCAGCGAAAUGCGAUAAGUAAUGUGAAUUGCAGAAUUCAGUGAAUCAUCGAGUCUUUGAACGCACAUUGCGCCCCCUGGUAUUCCGGGGGGCAUGCCUGUCCGAGCGUCAUUGCUGCCCUCAAGCACGGCUUGUGUGUUGGGCUCUCGCCCCCCGCUUCCGGGGGGCGGGCCCGAAAGGCAGCGGCGGCACCGCGUCCGGUCCUCGAGCGUAUGGGGCUUCGUCACCCGCUCUGUAGGCCCGGCCGGCGCCCGCCGGCGAACACCAUCAAUCUUAACCAGGUUGACCUCGGAUCAGGUAGGGAUACCCGCUGAACUUAAGCAUAUCAAA